rfam:Microvirga lotononidis strain WSM3557 genomic scaffold Micloscaffold_13, whole genome shotgun sequence.
CGUUGCUGCCCUUCUUGGGCGUUUCCUCCCUAAACUUCGGGCCGUUGGCAACAACGGCCUUUUUUCUUGCCUGAA